rnacentral:rRNA from 1 species
UGCCAGCCGCCGCGGUAAUACAUAGGGGUCAAGCGUUGUCCGGAUUUAUUGGGCGUAAAGCGCGCGUAGGUGGUCUGUUAAGUCGGAUGUGAAAGCCCCGGGCUCAACCUGGGAACUGCAUUCGAUACUGGCAGACUAGAGCGCGAGAGAGGGAGGUAGAAUUCCAUGUGUAGCGGUGAAAUGCGUAGAUAUGUGGAGGAAUACCAGUGGCGAAGGCGGCCUCCUGGCUCGACACUGACACUGAGGUGCGAAAGCGUGGGGAGCAAACAGGAUUAGAUA